rnacentral:rRNA from 1 species
UGGGGAAUAUUGGGCAAUGGACGCAAGUCUGACCCAGCGACGCCGCGUGAGGGAUGAAGGCCUUCGGGUUGUAAACCUCUUUCAGUAGGGAAGAAGCGAAAGUGACGGUACCUAAAGAAGAAGCACCGGCUAACUAUGUG